GCAAAACUGAAUCCCAGAGAGAAGACUCACUCAGACACAGCUAUCUGAACACUCGUUUCCAGUUCCCCUAGGGCAGCAGAGGAAGCAAGGUGGGGGGAAGCCAGUGGUCAAGGAUUCCAUGCGGAAUGUACCCUAGAAUUAACCCGUGGAGAGAGGGCUUCCAGGAGGGGCCUCCCUGGGCUCCCGGAGGACACCCACAGCCCUUACCAUGCAGCUCCCUCCAACAUCAAGCCAGGAAUGGCCGAACAGAUCUUUCUCAUGCUUCAAAUCUCUGAUGAAUUUCUCUUGCCAGAGAAAGCUUGCCACUUUCCAAGGCCUCACCCAAUCAGAUCCGUCCAACAAGGGUGAUCUCCCUAUCAUUAAGUUAACUGACUUGGAACCUCAGUUAAUCUGCAAAAUCCCUUUUGUCGUAUAAUGGAAUACAAUCAUUUGGUUCACAUGCUCAUCUUAUUCACAGGCCCUACACUCAUACAAGGGCAGGGGACCACAGAAGAGUGAAGGCCAGUGAGGGUCACCUCAGAAUUCUGCCCAACACCGGUGUUUUGUAAUUUGGGUAGAUGUUGCCAUGUUGUCCUCGGUGGGGAUUAUGCAGAGGGAACUCUCCUCCUCCAGCAACAGUACACGUACCUGCUUUUCCAUGGUGCUGC
rnacentral:lncRNA from 1 species